rnacentral:rRNA from 1 species
CACGUAGGCGGACUGGUCAGUUGGGGUGAAAUCCCAGGGCUCAACCCUGGAACUGCCUCCAAUACUGCCAGUCUUGAGUCCGAGAGAGGUGGGUGGAAUUCCUAGUGUAGAGGUGAAAUUCGUAGAUAUUAGGAAGAACACCAAUGGCGAAGGCGGCUCACUGGCUCGGUACUGACGCUGAGGUGCGAAAGCGUGGGGAGCAAACA